UACGGGGGGGGCAAGCGUUGUUCGGAAUUACUGGGCGUAAAGGGCUCGUAGGCGGCCAACUAAGUCAUACGUGAAAUCCCUCGGCUUAACCGGGGAACUGCGUCUGAUACUGGAUGGCUUGAGUUCGGGAGAGGGAUGCGGAAUUCCAGGUGUAGCGGUGAAAUGCGUAGAUAUCUGGAGGAACACCGGUGGCGAAGGCGGCAUCCUGGACCAAUAUUGACGCUGAGGAGCGAAAGCCAGGGGAGCAAACGGG
rnacentral:rRNA from 1 species